GACGAACGCUGGCGGCGUGCUUAACACAUGCAAGUCGAACGGAAAGGCCCUGCUUUUGUGGGGUGCUCGAGUGGCGAACGGGUGAGUAACACGUGAGUAACCUGCCCUUGACUUUGGGAUAACUUCAGGAAACUGAGGCUAAUACCGGAUAGGAGCUCCUGCUGCAUGGUGGGGGUUGGAAAGUUUCGGCGGUUGGGGAUGGACUCGCGGCUUAUCAGCUUGUUGGUGGGGUAGUGGCUUACCAAGGCUUUGACGGGUAGCCGGCCUGAGAGGGUGACCGGCCACAUUGGGACUGAGAUACGGCCCAGACUCCUACGGGAGGCAGCAGUGGGGAAUAUUGCACAAUGGGCGGGAGCCUGAUGCAGCAACGCCGCGUGCGGGAUGACGGCCUUCGGGUUGUAAACCGCCUUCGCCUGUGACGAAGCGUGAGUGACGGUAAUGGGUAAAGAAGCACCGGCUAACUACGUGCCAGCAGCCGCGGUGAUACGUAGGGUGCGAGCGUUGUCCGGAUUUAUUGGGCGUAAAGGGCUCGUAGGUGGUUGAUCGCGUCGGAAGUGUAAUCUUGGGGCUUAACCCUGAGCGUGCUUUCGAUACGGGUUGACUUGAGGAAGGUAGGGGAGAAUGGAAUUCCUGGUGGAGCGGUGGAAUGCGCAGAUAUCAGGAGGAACACCAGUGGCGAAGGCGGUUCUCUGGGCCUUUCCUGACGCUGAGGAGCGAAAGCGUGGGGAGCGAACAGGCUUAGAUACCCUGGUAGUCCACGCUGUAAACGGUGGGUACUAGGUGUGGGGUCCAUUCCACGGGUUCCGUGCCGUAGCUAACGCUUUAAGUACCCCGCCUGGGGAGUACGGCCGCAAGGCUAAAACUCAAAGGAAUUGACGGGGCCCCGCACAAGCGGCGGAGCAUGCGGAUUAAUUCGAUGCAACGCGUAGAACCUUACCUGGGUUUGACAUGGAUCGGGAGUGCUCAGAGAUGGGUGUGCCUCUUUUGGGGUCGGUUCACAGGUGGUGCAUGGCUGUCGUCAGCUCGUGUCGUGAGAUGUUGGGUUAAGUCCCGCAACGAGCGCAACCCUUGUUCACUGUUGCCAGCACGUUAUGGUGGGGACUCAGUGGAGACCGCCGGGGUCAACUCGGAGGAAGGUGGGGAUGACGUCAAGUCAUCAUGCCCCUUAUGUCCAGGGCUUCACGCAUGCUACAAUGGCUGGUACAGAGAGUGGCGAGCCUGUGAGGGUGAGCGAAUCUCGGAAAGCCGGUCUCAGUUCGGAUUGGGGUCUGCAACUCGACCUCAUGAAGUCGGAGUCGCUAGUAAUCGCAGAUCAGCAACGCUGCGGUGAAUACGUUCCCGGGGCU
rnacentral:rRNA from 1 species